AGGGCACCACCAGGAGUGGAGCCUGCGGCUUAAUUUGACUCAACACGGGAAAUCUCACCAGGCCCGGACACCGGAAGGAUUGACAGAUUGAGAGCUCUUUCUUGAUUCGGUGGGUGGUGGUGCAUGGCCGUUCUUAGUUGGUGGAGCGAUUUGUCUGGUUAAUUCCGAUAACGAACGAGACUCUGGCCUACUAACUAGACGUUGGAUCUCUUUGUGGGUCCAUCGCAGCUUCUUAGAGGGACGGGCGGCGUUUAGCCGCACGAGAAUGAGCAAUAACAGGUCUGUGAUGCCCUUAGAUGUUCUGGGCUGCACGCGCGCUACACUGAAGGAAUCAGCGUGUGUACCCUGUCUGAAAAGACUGGGAAACCCGAUGAACCUCCUUCGUGAUGGGGAUUGGGGAUUGCAAUUAUUCCCCAUGAACGAGGAAUUCCCAGUAGGCGCGAGUCAUAAGCUUGCGUCGAUUACGUCCCAGCCCUUUGUACACACCGCCCGUCGCUACUACCGAUCGAGUGAUUUAGU
rnacentral:rRNA from 1 species